GACAGCGGCAAAUGAGGGAGUGGAAAGAGGUCGGGCCGAGGUGCUGAGCUGGAUCCAAGGACAAGCAGCCAAGCAAAAGGAUCUCCAACUGACACUGCCCCACUUCCCAUGCCCAGCAGGGCUUGGCAUUUGCCUUUCUCUGGAGCUUCUCCUUUUGGGUUCCUGAGUUUGCAGUAGCUUCCCAGAAAUGCUAGCUGCCACCUCACUCCCCUCAUCCUCAGGAGCCGGCACUGUCCUCAUGGAAGAGAACUUGGCACCCUCCCUGGCACACAGCAGGCACUACUGACUGAGACAGAGUUUCAGAUUGAAAAGCAGAAGCAGAAGCACUC